GGGUUGUGAGGUUAAGCGACUAAGCGUACACGGUGGAUGCCCUGGCAGUCAGAGGCGAUGAAGGGCGUGCUAAUCUGCGAUAAGCGCCGGUAAGGUGAUAUGAACCGUUAUAACCGGCGAUACCCGAAUGGGGAAACCCAGUGUGAUUCGUCACACUAUCAUUAACUGAAUCCAUAGGUUAAUGAGGCGAACCGGGGGAACUGAAACAUCUAAGUACCCCGAGGAAAAGAAAUCAACCGAGAUUCCCCCAGUAGCGGCGAGCGAACGGGGAGGAGCCCAGAGCCUGAAUCAGCAUGUGUGUUAGUGGAAGCGUCUGGAAAGGCGCGCGAUACAGGGUGACAGCCCCGUACACAAAAGCGCAUGUGCUGUGAGCUCGAUGAGUAGGGCGGGACACGUGGUAUCCUGUCUGAAUAUGGGGGGACCAUCCUCCAAGGCUAAAUACUCCUGACUGACCGAUAGUGAACCAGUACCGUGAGGGAAAGGCGAAAAGAACCCCGGCGAGGGGAGUGAAAA
rnacentral:rRNA from 1 species